CAAGGGGUGGUUUAAUUUUAAAAUGCUAACUUUGGAGGUUAUUGAUGGGGGUGUGAGGCCUUUUCCCUUGA
rnacentral:tRNA from 1 species